GCUAAAUCGUAACUUAAAACUGUUGAUAGUUAUCACACAAUAUUUGCCUCUGAAUACUAUGUAAAAUCGUUACGAAUCAAGUAAGUUAAUACAUAUAUAGCCUAUGCCCAUGAACAAUAUGUAUCAUAAUUCAAACUAACCAGGUAGGAAAAAUCCACGAGUAAAAGCAGACUGUAAAUAAUGCAAACAUAGAAGACCAACACCUUCAAAUAUACUUAAAGCUUAACACCGAACUACAAAAAAAAGCGAUAGAAUGUGCCACUCGUGAAUGAUGCGGAAUCAAGAUUAAAUACAAGCAACUGACGUGAUUAUUAAAAGGAAUCUUGUGCAUGAUUGAAGAGAGCACCCAAAAAGAAUACAAGCAGUGAACAAGUUCAAAAUGUUAGGUCAAAAGUGAUCAUUAUUAUCUUAGAUUAGGAGAACUACAGAAGUGGGAUGCUCUGAACAAUCUCCGAUGAACUUGGCACACAUGAACACAAAUAUAUUAACUUAACGUAAGCCAAAAAAAACAUCAAGCUAUGAAAUUCAGUUGCUAUUUUGUCGCAGCUUUUAUGCAGCCAACCAAACAACGAAGGGUAAGUCAUCCAUAUAUCAUUCAACAAUUACACCAAUAACAUCAUACAAGAUGCAUAAUUGACAAUUGUGUACAAGAUAAAACAUAACUUGCAUGAACAGAACAUGACUACAUAUUACAAUUAGAAUACUAAUUACCAAGCUAAGACUAAUCCAACACCGGACGGAGCAUGUAAACUGGCAGAAACCCAACCGAAUAUCCAUGUAGAAAAUCAAAGGCACAAACUAGAUAUCAGAGGGAUUGGUAGAUUCCAACACAGUAAUCAGCAUCUGGAUAGACCUUGACGUGCCACCCGAGAAAAACACAGCAGGCAGUAAACUAGUCAGCAGCUUUCUUCACAGUACUUGGAACCUCAAACAGAUUACUUCAAAAGCAAACUUCCAUGUUCUUCUAAGGUAGUUCCCAAGAAAGUUACAUCUACAACGCAAACAAAACAAGCACCUCCAAUUUUCUUAGGAAUCUUGAAAUGAAACCAACCAUGAGCAUGUCCACACAGUUGAAGAAACACAUAUCCCAGCUCUACCUUUAUAACACGGUACACAGCAUAGCAAAAUCACUUUUCAUAUGGUCUGACAUGUAUAUCCAGAUAGGCCUAGCAAACCUUUUUCCAACUUCCUCUAUCUCUUAUUGACUCUGACUAAGUCAUGCAGGAACGGGAUCAAAAGCAAAAAAAACUGCAGAAUUUUGCCUGUCAACUGUCCCCAAACCGCUGUUUUUCACCGCAAAAAGAUAAAGCACUUUGUACGCAGAACAUUAAUGAAUCACCUUGAAUGGAACAGGCCAAUCCAAACCACAAACUUCAAUCUCUCAUUCAGAUCAUGUCAAACAUCUCCAAAGAAAACUAAGCUGACCACACCGAUCCACCGUAACGAACAGAGAUGAAAGCAAACAAACUGCUCCACGUUUAAAUAAAAUCCCCAUUAAACGAACACAACUAGUUGCUCUCGCCAAAAAUAACCUCCAUUAAUUGACAACCUUGAAUCAAAUCAGCAAUUAGGAUAAAAAUGGAUAAGCCACGACCCUAAAACAUAUCGCAAUCAGAGCAUGAUGGAUUAGCCAGGACCCAAUCAGAUCAGAAGUCAAAGCAAAAUAGAUUAGCCGCGACCUAAACCAAAGCAGCGAGGUUCAGAAGACGAUACCAACAUCAACGGAACAGAGGAGGACAAACCACCGGAACUAGGCCUCGAUCGACAUCAACGUAAUAAGGAGCAGCACAACCCAAACAGAACGCUCGCCUGGAAUUACAACCAAACGAAGAACAGCGAAACAAGGAGCGCGAGAUCUGAACCGAUUACCCGGUGGCCAUACCUGCGACUUACCCGACGAGAGGGGGGAGAGCAGAGAAGAGAAGUCAAAUCCUCCGAUACGAGGAAACCAUGGGAGGCUCGGGUGGUAUUUAUAGAGGCCGUGAAGCCGGUGGCGGCGAUGGGUUUCCAGGAAGGAGUCGGUGCGGGUGGACGCGGUUCCACUUUUUCCAGUCGUGGCCGGAGACGAACCGACGUCGGACGGAGGGCCACGCGGUUUUCGUGGGAGAAAGGGAAUGACGGGGGCACGAGGCGGUUGCGGCUUUCGUUAAUCCUAUCCCAUCUCUUCCGCGGCACGACUCUGCGUGCGUUCUUAUCCGUUAAUGACGGGCACCGUCAUACAUGUGGCGGGAUGGGUCCGCGCGAUCGUAAACGAACACGUUUUUUUUUACACCGGGACACCUUUACAUUUCAAAUUAUGGUGCACCGAUCAAAUCAACGAUCACGCAAGCUAACCUAUAUUUAGGUUUAAAUGGUUA
rnacentral:lncRNA from 1 species